GACGAACGCUGGCGGCGUGCCUAAUACAUGCAAGUCGAGCGGACCGGAUUGGGGCUUGCCUUGAUUCGGUCAGCGGCGGACGGGUGAGUAACACGUGGGCAACCUGCCCGCAAGGCCGGGAUAACUCCGGGAAACCGGAGCUAAUACCGGAUAACACCGAAGACCGCAUGGUCUUCGGUUGAAAGGCGGCCUUUGGGCUGUCACUUGCGGAUGGGCCCGCGGCGCAUUAGCUAGUUGGUGAGGUAACGGCUCACCAAGGCGACGAUGCGUAGCCGGCCUGAGAGGGUGACCGGCCACACUGGGACUGAGACACGGCCCAGACUCCUACGGGAGGCAGCAGUAGGGAAUCUUCCGCAAUGGGCGAAAGCCUGACGGAGCGACGCCGCGUGAGCGAAGAAGGCCUUCGGGUCGUAAAGCUCUGUUGUGAGGGACGAAGGAGCGUCGUUCGAAGAGGGCGGCGCGGUGACGGUACCUCACGAGAAAGCCCCGGCUAACUACGUG
rnacentral:rRNA from 1 species